rnacentral:rRNA from 1 species
ACGCGUUGGCCCAAUUGAUUGAUGGUGCUUGCACCUGAUUGAUUUUGGUCGCCAACGAGUGGCGGACGGGUGAGUAACACGUAGGUAACCUGCCCAGAAGCGGGGGACAACAUUUGGAAACAGAUGCUAAUACCGCAUAACAACGUUGUUCGCAUGAACAACGCUUAAAAGAUGGCUUCUCGCUAUCACUUCUGGAUGGACCUGCGGUGC